UUUAUUUUAGGGUUGCAUCAGCAUAAAAAGAUGACUACAAUUGUUUUGUUCUCUCUUCUAUCAUCCGUUUGCUGGUUUGCAGGGUUUCUACAAGCAAUGACUUCGACACAAGGGUUCUUGAAGCCAUCACAUAAUAAUUCUUGGUACCUGUUUGACCGCCAUUACUUUUGGCAACCUCAGACCCACUCAAAUUAUGCCACCUGUUGACCCAUUAUCAAAGGAAGCCAAAUAUUUGUUCAGUUUACGUCGAUGGAGAGCUCUUCCUGUUCUCUUCCUUCACCGCAUCUCAUCGGUUACGAUGUA